rnacentral:rRNA from 1 species
UACUCCUACGGGAGGCAGCAUGUCAGGGAAUCUUCCGCAAUGGACGAAAGUCUGACGGAGCAACGCCGCGUGAGUGAGGAAGGCUUUCGGGUCGUAAAACUCUGUUGUUAGGGAAGAACAAGUGCUAGUUGAAUAAGCUGGCACCUUGACGGUACCUAACCAGAAAGCCACGGCUAACUACGUGCCAGCAGCCGCGGUAAUAAA